rnacentral:rRNA from 1 species
GUCUAUGGCCAUACCACCUUGAAGGUACCCAAUCCCAUUUGAUCUCAUAAGCUAAGCAUGGUUGGGCCUGGUUAGUACUUGGAUGGGAAACAGAUCUUCAGAAGAGACUGCUCAGAGACA